rnacentral:rRNA from 1 species
ACGAAGGGUGCAAGCGUUAAUCGGAAUUACUGGGCGUAAAGCGCGCGUAGGUGGUUUGUUAAGUUGAAUGUGAAAGCCCCGGGCUCAACCUGGGAACUGCAUCCAAAACUGGCAAGCUAGAGUAUGGCAGAGGGUGGUGGAAUUUCCUGUGUAGCGGUGAAAUGCGUAGAUAUAGGAAGGAACACCAGUGGCGAAGGCGACCACCUGGGCUAAUACUGACACUGAGGUGCGAAAGCGUGGGGAGCAAA